UAAUACUGUCAGGUAAAGAUGU
rnacentral:ncRNA from 4 species